rnacentral:rRNA from 1 species
GACGAACGCUGGCGGCGUGCCUAAUACAUGCAAGUAGAACGCUGAAGAGAGGAGCUUGCUCUUCUUGGAUGAGUUGCGAACGGGUGAGUAACGCGUAGGUAACCUGCCUUGUAGCGGGGGAUAACUAUUGGAAACGAUAGCUAAUACCGCAUAACAAUGGAUGACACAUGUCAUUUAUUUGAAAGGGGCAAUUGCUCCACUACAAGAUGGACCUGCGUUGUAUUAGCUAGUAGGUGAGGUAAUGGCUCACCUAGGCGACGAUACAUAGCCGACCUGAGAGGGUGAUCGGCCACACUGGGACUGAGACACGGCCCAGACUCCUACGGGAGGCAGCAGUAGGGAAUCUUCGGCAAUGGGGGCAACCCUGACCGAGCAACGCCGCGUGAGUGAAGAAGGUUUUCGGAUCGUAAAGCUCUGUUGUAAGUCAAGAACGGGUGUGAGAGUGGAAAGUUCACACUGUGAUGGUAGCUUACCAGAAAGGGACGGCUAACUACGUG